rnacentral:tRNA from 1 species
GGAGAGAUGGCCGAGAGGCUGAAGGCGCUCCCCUGCUAAGGGAGUGUAGGUUUUAUCGCCUACCGAGGGUUCGAAUCCCUCUCUCUCCGCCA